CACGUAGGGGGCAAGCGUUGUCCGGAUUUAUUGGGCGUAAAGAGCUCGUAGGCGGUUCGGUAAGUCGGGUGUGAAACCUCCAGGCUCAACCUGGAGACGCCACCUGAUACUGCUGUGACUAGAGUCCGGUAGGGGAGCGUGGAAUUCCUGGUGUAGCGGUGAAAUGCGUAGAUAUUGGGAAGAACACCAGCGGCGAAAGCGCUCUACUGGGCCGCAACUGACACUCAUGGACGAAAGCUAGGGGAGCGAAAGGG
rnacentral:rRNA from 1 species